rnacentral:rRNA from 1 species
UACAGAGGUCCCGAGCGUUGUUCGGAUUUAUUGGGCGUAAAGGGUGCGUAGGCGGCGGAGUAAGUUGGGUGUGAAAUCCCGGGGCUCAACCUCGGAAUGGCAUUCGAUACUGCCGUGCUUGAGGACUGGAGAGGAGACUGGAAUUUACGGUGUAGCGGUGAAAUGCGUAGAUAUCGUAAGGAAGACCAGUGGCGAAGGCGGGUCUCUGGACAGUUCCUGACGCUGAGGCACGAAGGUCAGGGGAGCAAACGGG